UUUGGCAUCUUUCUUUCAUCAUGCUCAGGGUCAGCGUUGUAAGAAGGAUGCCGCUAUGAA
rnacentral:sRNA from 1 species